rnacentral:rRNA from 1 species
UACGUAGGGUGCAAGCGUUGUCCGGAAUCAUUGGGCGUAAAGCGCGCGUAGGCGGCUUGGUAAGUCUGCUGUGAAAGUCCCAGGCUCAACCUUGGGAUUCCGGUGGAUACUGUCGAGCUCGAGUCCGGAAGAGGAGUGUGGAAUUCCUGGUGUAGCGGUGAAAUGCGCAGAGAUCAGGAGGAACACCAAUGGCGAAGGCAGCACUCUGGGACGUGACUGACGCUGAGACGCGAAAGCGUGGGGAGCAAACAGG